CAAACCUUUAUUUGUAGAGCUUAAAUCUACUGCACUAAUCUGCCAUAUUAGAAUCUAGACAUUAAUGGUAAUUCUGAGUAACUAUGUUCUGCAGGAGGGUUAUUUUGUAGUCAUUCUGUUGAUCUUCUUAUGUUAGCUCUAAAUAUAAUUGCUCGGUUUGUAAUCAUUCUUUCUCAUAGAAUUACAAUGAAUAUAAUGAUUCCUACAAUAGAAAUUGUAGACCCAAUUCUUGAUACUACGUUUCAUGAUGUAUAUGCGUCUGGGUAGUCAGAGUAUCGUCGAGGUAUUCCUGCUAAUCCUAGGAAGUGUUGAGGAAAGAAUGUUAAAUUUACUCCAAUGAAUAUAAUUGUAAAUUGGAUUUUUAAUCAUGUAUUAUUUAUAGUUAAUCCUGUAAAUAGUGGAUAUCAUUGAAUGACACCUCCUAUAAUUGCAAAUACUGCUCCUAUAGAUAAUACAUAAUGAAAGUGGGCUACUACAUAAUAUGUAUCAUGUAAUACAAUAUCAAGUGAUGAAUUUGCUAAUACUAAUCCUGUUAAUCCACCAAUUGUAAAUAGGAAAAUAAAUCCUAGAGCUCAUAAUAAUGGUGGAUUGAACUUGAAUUUAGUUCCAUAUAAUGUAGCUAAUCAUCUAAAUACCUUAAUUCCUGUAGGUACAGCAAUAAUUAUUGUUGCUGAUGUAAAAUAUGCUCGUGUGUCAACAUCCAUUCCUACUGUAAAUAUAUGAUGUGCUCAUACAAUAAAUCAUAUUAGUCCAAUUGAUAGUAUAGCAUAAAUUAUACCUAAUGUUCCAAAUGAUUCAAUUUUUCCUCUUUCUUGACAUACAAUAUGUGAAAUAAUUCCGAACCCCGGUAGAAUUAAAAUAUAAACUUCUGGGUGUCCAAAGAAUCAAAAUAGAUGUUGAUAUAGAAUUGGGUCACCCCCUCCUGCAGGGUCAAAGAAUGAUGAAUUUAAAUUUCGAUCUGUUAAUAAUAUAGUAAUAGCUCCUGCUAAAACUGGAAGUGAAAGAAGGAGAAGUAAUGCUGUAAUAGCUACAGAUCAUACAAAUAAAGGUGUUUGAUCUAAAGUUAUACUUUCUGAAGGUAUAUUAAUUGCUGUUGUAAUGAAAUUCACUGCACCAAGAAUAGAUGAUACACCUGCUAAGUGCAGUGAAAAAAUAGCUAGAUCUACAGAUGCACCCCCGUGUGCAAUAGCUCCUGCUAGAGGAGGGUAAACUGUUCAUCCUGUACCAGCACCAAUAUCUACUAUAGAAGAUGUAAGAAGAAGGGUUAGUGAAGGUGGUAGUAAUCAAAAACUUAUAUUAUUUAUUCGUGGAAAUGCUAUAUCUGGUGCUCCAAUUAUUAGUGGAACAA